UCAGUAUCUUUAAAUAGGAUAGUGAGCACUAUUUGUCCACCAAACCUUCAACGGUUGAAGCUCUAUUGGAAAACGAAGAGAUUUCUUCCAGCAAACGCUGUAGUCGCAGGUUUUUGUCAAACUAUAAUUGAAGUAUCUCCGAGCAGAACGAUGUUGGAGUCGACAUUGCACGACGACGAAUGCAAAACAGUGUCCCUCGCAGCUUGGAAGAAUACAAAUAUGACCACUAACAAAGAGAAAUGUGCCAGAUGGCUGGCAAGUGAAGAUAUCUGCAGGUGAAAAACAAAAACAUCAUGUUUCUGCAACAAAUAAAGAAAUCCCCACUAACAA